rnacentral:miRNA from 1 species
UAUGACCAUACCCUUUUAACACAUAUAGUUCUGUCCUGCCUUUCAUUUUGUCCACAAUUCUGAUCAGGUUCAAUUCAAGAGUUGGAGAAUGCAACCUCACAUAUUCAAGGUUCUCUCAACCAAGUAACCUUUUUGAGCAUAUAAAGGUAUAAAUAGAAGGCUUGCUUUACCAGAACAAGAAGGGAGCUUCAGCUGUUCUCUGGAGUUCCCCAGAACACUUCAUUGGGUUCUUCUAAGACUCUUAUGCAUGUAAGGGUAACCUACUUAAUUACUCCACUGAAGUGUUUGGGGGAACUCUGGAUAGCAGCUGACAUUAAUUGAUGAAUGAUUAGUUGCAACACUGGAUUCAUAGGUGUAUAUAAGCAUGUAUGUAUGUUGAGAGUUAUUUGCAUUUUCAUAAGCAUGUAUGAGUGUUGAGAGUCAUUUGCAUUUUUGUUUUCAAUUUUUUCUCCCAAUAUAAACAUACAUUACAUUCCUAAAAUUUCUUGCCAAGUGGCAAUACAGCUUUGAAAAAAAAAAAAAAAAAAAAAAAAAAA